rnacentral:rRNA from 1 species
GACGAACGCUGGCGGCGUGCUUAACACAUGCAAGUCGAACGGACUACUUUGCUUCGGUAAGGUGGUUAGUGGCGAACGGGUGAGUAACGCGUAGACAACCUACCUCUUAGAUGGGGACAACAUCGCGAAAGCGGUGCUAAUACCGAAUGAAGUGACUUUCCUGCAUGGGAGAGAUACUAAAGGUGGCCUCUAUUUAUAAGCUACCACUGAGAGAUGGGUCUGCGUCUGAUUAGCUAGUUGGCGGGGUAACGGCCCACCAAGGCGACGAUCAGUAGCCGGUCUGAGAGGAUGAACGGCCACAUUGGGACUGAGACACGGCCCAAACUCCUACGGGAGGCAGCAGUGGGAAAUCUUCCGCAAUGGACGAAAGUCUGACGGAGCAGCGCCGCGUGAGUGAAGAAGGUUUUCGGAUCGUAAAGCUCUGUUGUUUGAGACGAAUGUGCCUGUUUCGAAUAGGGAUAGGUAAUGACGGUAUUAAACGAGAAAGCCACGGCUAACUACGUGCCAGCCGCCGCCGUAA